rnacentral:other from 1 species
AAAAGCCUGCCGGGUUCGAUUCUUUUCGGUUGAUAUUAACCCAACACUCUUUUAAAAGGGAGCUUAAUUCGGAAAUGGAGUGCAGACCUCCCGACACAGAAUUGUUCUAUGCCGGAAGUUGGGAGCAUGGUAAUCAACGAUUGGCACCCACCUGCUUAUUAUGCAGGUUAUUAUUCUCCGAGAUCCCGGCUCGGCGGGUGAAAU